rnacentral:rRNA from 1 species
GAUGAACGCUGGCGGCGUGCCUAAUACAUGCAAGUCGAGCGAACAGACGAGGAGCUUGCUCCUCUGACGUUAGCGGCGGACGGGUGAGUAACACGUGGAUAACCUACCUAUAAGACUGGGAUAACUUCGGGAAACCGGAGCUAAUACCGGAUAAUAUAUUGAACCGCAUGGUUCAAUAGUGAAAGACGGUUUUGCUGUCACUUAUAGAUGGAUCCGCGCCGCAUUAGCUAGUUGGUAAGGUAACGGCUUACCAAGGCAACGAUGCUUAGCCGACCUGAGAGGGUGAUCGUCCACACUGGAACUGAGACACGGUCCAGACUCCUACUGGAGGCAGCAGUAGGGAAUCUUCCGCAAUGGGCGAAAGCUUGACGGAGCAACGCCGCGUGAGUGAUGAAGGUCUUCGGAUCUUAAAACUCUGUUAUUAGGGAAGAACAAAUGUGUAAGUAACUAUGCACGUCUUGACGGUACCUAAUCAGAAAGCCACGGCUAACUACGUG